rnacentral:rRNA from 1 species
UUUUUGAUUUUAAUUUAAAGUCUAAUCUGCCCACUGAUUUAUUAAAGGGCUGCAGUAAUUUGACUGUACAAAGGUAGCAUAAUCAUUAGCCUUUUAAUUGAAGGCUUGUAUGAAAGAUUUGAUGAAAUAUAAACUGUCUCUAAUUUAAAAUUAAAAUUUAAUUUUUUAGUUAAAAAGCUAAAAUAAUUUUAAAAGACGAGAAGACCCUAUAGAGUUUUAUAAUUAAUAAUUUUAAAUAAUUAUAUAAAAUUUUAAUAUUUAAUAUUAUUCAUUAUUUUAUUGGGGUGAUAAAAAAAUUUAAUUAACUUUUUUUCUUGUUUAUCAAAAAUAAAUGAUUAAUUGAUCCUGUUUAAAGAUUAAAAGAAAUAAUUACCUUAGGGAUAACAGCGUAAUAUUUUUUUUUAGUACAAAUAAAAAAAAAAGUUUGCGACCUCGAUGUUGGAUUAAGAUAAAAUUUAAAUGCAAAAGUUUAAAAUUUUGAUCUGUUCGAUCAUUAAAAUCUUACAUGAU